AGCGAACGCUGGCGGCAGGCCUAACACAUGCAAGUCGAACGCCCCGCAAGGGGAGUGGCAGACGGGUGAGUAACGCGUGGGAACAUACCCUUUCCUGCGGAAUAGCUCUGGGAAACUGGAAUUAAUACCGCAUACGCCCUACGGGGGAAAGAUUUAUCGGGGAAGGAUUGGCCCGCGUUGGAUUAGCUAGUUGGUGGGGUAAAGGCCUACCAAGGCGACGAUCCAUAGCUGGUCUGAGAGGAUGAUCGGCCACAUUGGGACUGAGACACGGCCCAAACUCCUACGGGAGGCAGCAGUGGGGAAUAUUGGACAAUGGGCGCAAGCCUGAUCCAGCCAUGCCGCGUGAGUGAUGAAGGCCUUAGGGUUGUAAAGCUCUUUCACCGAUGAAGAUAAUGACGGUAGUCGGAGAAGAAGCCCCGGCUAACUUCGUGCCAGCCGCCGCAGUAAGAC
rnacentral:rRNA from 1 species